rnacentral:lncRNA from 1 species
CAUUGAUUUAUCACAUUGUAAGAAAACAAGAUAAACCUUACAUGAAGCUGCUGAGCAUUUGUUUCGUAUCGUCAUUGACUCUCGAGUUGGCAAAGCUGAUGCAGGAGCAGUAUAGCGCAACCCAAGCACACCACUUCAACUGCAAAUGACAGCCCUGAGGUUACCUGAGGUUUCAAUCAACUUGCCUAAAAGGUCAACACUUCAAAAACGAAGGGUGAACAGGAGCACUGUCCAGAGCGAACGAUGCACUAGAACCCCUACCCCAGCCAGGAACCAGGAGAUAUGGAUCUACACAUGGCCCAAAGCUGGAUCCGAAGAACUCAACUGAAGCAGACUGAGGCUAAAAUACUGCACUGCCAGCUAUCAAAGAUUGAUCUACCUUCCCUUCCCGCCCAACCACUUGGGCUAGACAGUAGAGCGAAAGCCCAUUUUUUUGCAAGCCGGUUUUCAAUCCCCGACUGUCCAAGUGGUUGGGCACAAUUUCGUCCCCAUGUCCCAUCAAAAAUCCUUAUAUUGAUCCCUUCCAAAUGCUAUAUAGUUAUAAUGAUUUAGUGAUUUCUCCUAAUAAUUCCCUUCCCUUCCCUUUCCCUCCAGAAAGUAGAAAGGGUGUAAAAAGAGAGGCAAACCGCAAGGAAUACAACUAAGAAGAUUCCUGAUGAUCUAGAACUGCACGCUGGAAAGCACGACAGGCCGCAUAUAGUGUAAAUAUGCAACCACAUCCCACAGCAGCAGCUCAAACUAGAGCAAUGCUAUCAAGGCAAUCUUUGAAGACAACACAAAUGGUGAAACCAGCUGGGAAGAACCCUGCUCUAAACAUAAUUACACCUGAUCAACCACACACAACU